UGUGACCUCAAAUCAGGUAGGACUACCCGCUGAACUUAAG
rnacentral:rRNA from 3 species